GAAUCUUCCACAAUGCGCGAAAGCGUGAUGGAGCAAUGCCGCGUGCAGGAUGAAGCCCUUCGGGGUGUAAACUGCUGUCAGGGGUUAGCAACACAAUGAGCAGCCCCAAAGGAAGAGACGACUAACUCUGUGCCAGCAGUCGCGGUAAUACAGAGGUCUCGAGCGUUAGACGGAUUCAUUGGGCUUAAAGCGUACGUAGGCGGGCGUGCAGGCGUCGUGUGAAAGCCCUCGGCUCAACCGGGGAAUUGCACGGCGAACCGCACGUCUUGAGACAAGUAGGGGCGGUCGGAACGAUAGGUGGAGUGGUGAGAUGCGUUGAUAUCUAUCGGAACGCCAAUGGUGAAGACAGGCCGCUGGGCUUGUUCUGACGCUGAGGUACGAAAGCGUGGGGAGCGAACGGG
rnacentral:rRNA from 1 species